rnacentral:tRNA from 1 species
GGGGUCAUAGCUCAGUUGGGAGAGCAGCAGACUGAAGCUAUUUCGACAAAGUGGAUUAAAUUCUGGUUUCUGAAGGUCCCGCGUUCAAUCCGCGGUGACCCCA